rnacentral:tRNA from 1 species
GGGUUGCUAGCUCAACUGGUAGAGCAACUGACUCUUAAUCAGUAGGUCCGGGGUUCGAGUCCCCGGCAACCCA